GACGAACGCUGGCGGCGUGCUUAACACAUGCAAGUCGAACGGAAAGGCCCUGCUUUUGUGGGGUGCUCGAGUGGCGAACGGGUGAGUAACACGUGAGUAACCUGCCCUUGACUUUGGGAUAACUUCAGGAAACUGGGGCUAAUACCGGAUAGGAGCUCCUGCUGCAUGGUGGGGGUUGGAAAGUUUCGGCGGUUGGGGAUGGACUCGCGGCUUAUCAGCUUGUUGGUGGGGUAGUGGCUUACCAAGGCUUUGACGGGUAGCCGGCCUGAGAGGGUGACCGGGGAACAUUUGGUAGAGCGAGCGGCCAGGACUGGUGGGGGGGGGUGGAGUGGGGAAUAGUGCAGAAGGGGGGGUGUGCUAAUGGAGGACCGGCGGGUGCGGGGUGACGUCGUGAGGGUUGACACCCGCUGGCGCGGGGGAAGAAGUGUGAGUGGGGGUAAUGGAAAAAGAAGCGCGGGAAAGCGACGAACCAGCAGCGGGGGACAUAGAGCGGAACAACACACAUGAGCAG
rnacentral:rRNA from 1 species